UACGUAGGGGGCAAGCGUUGUCCGGAUUUAUUGGGCGUAAAGAGCGUGUAGGCGGUUAGGUAGGUCCGUUGUGAAAACUCGAGGCUCAACCUCGAGACGCCGAUGGAAACCAUCUGACUAGAGUCCGGAAGAGGAGAGUGGAAUUCCUGGUGUAGCGGUGAAAUGCGCAGAUAUCAGGAAGAACACCCGUGGCUAAGGCGGCUCUCUAGUACGGUACUGACGCUGAGACGCGAAAGCGUGGGGGGCGAACAGG
rnacentral:rRNA from 1 species